GAUGAACGCUGGCGGCGUGCCUAAUACAUGCAAGUCGAGCGAACGGACGAGAAGCUUGCUUCUCUGAUGUUAGCGGCGGACGGGUGAGUAACACGUGGAUAACCUACCUAUAAGACUGGGAUAACUUCGGGAAACCGUAGCUAAUACCGGAUAAUAUUUUGAACCGCAUGGUUCAAAAGUGAAAGACGGUCUUGCUGUCACUUAUAGAUGGAUCCGCGCUGCAUUAGCUAGUUGGUAAGGUAACGGCUUACCAAGGCAACGAUGCAUAGCCGACCUGAGAGGGUGAUCGGCCACACUGGAACUGAGACACGGUCCAGACUCCUACGGGAGGCAGCAGUAGGGAAUCUUCCGCAAUGGGCGAAAGCCUGACGGAGCAACGCCGCGUGAGUGAUGAAGGUCUUCGGAUCGUAAAACUCUGUUAUUAGGGAAGAACAUAUGUGUAAGUAACUGUGCACAUCUUGACGGUACCUAAUCAGAAAGCCACGGCUAACUACGUGCCAGCAGCCGCGGUAAUACGUAGGUGGCAAGCGUUAUCCGGAAUUAUUGGGCGUAAAGCGCGCGUAGGCGGUUUUUUAAGUCUGAUGUGAAAGCCCACAGCUCAACCGUGGAGGGUCAUUGGAAACUGGAAAACUUGAGUGCAGAAGAGGAAAGUGGAAUUCCAUGUGUAGCGGUGAAAUGCGCAGAGAUAUGGAGGAACACCAGUGGCGAAGGCGACUUUCUGGUCUGUAACUGACGCUGAUGUGCGAAAGCGUGGGGAUCAAACAGGAUUAGAUACCCUGGUAGUCCACGCCGUAAACGAUGAGUGCUAAGUGUUAGGGGGUUUCCGCCCCUUAGUGCUGCAGCUAACGCAUUAAGCACUCCGCCUGGGGAGUACGACCGCAAGGUUGAAACUCAAAGGAAUUGACGGGGACCCGCACAAGCGGUGGAGCAUGUGGUUUAAUUCGAAGCAACGCGAAGAACCUUACCAAAUCUUGACAUCCUUUGACAACUCUAGAGAUAGAGCCUUCCCCUUCGGGGGACAAAGUGACAGGUGGUGCAUGGUUGUCGUCAGCUCGUGUCGUGAGAUGUUGGGUUAAGUCCCGCAACGAGCGCAACCCUUAAGCUUAGUUGCCAUCAUUAAGUUGGGCACUCUAAGUUGACUGCCGGUGACAAACCGGAGGAAGGUGGGGAUGACGUCAAAUCAUCAUGCCCCUUAUGAUUUGGGCUACACACGUGCUACAAUGGACAAUACAAAGGGCAGCGAAACCGCGAGGUCAAGCAAAUCCCAUAAAGUUGUUCUCAGUUCGGAUUGUAGUCUGCAACUCGACUACAUGAAGCUGGAAUCGCUAGUAAUCGUAGAUCAGCAUGCUACGGUGAAUACGUUCCCGGGUCU
rnacentral:rRNA from 1 species